CGACAAGCUACGGUUCGUCAAGCCACAUUGAGCUUCCUUGCGAGACCCGGCAACCCGGCGAGACGCCGACUUGACAAAAAGUUUUGAACCGCGUGGUUGCUGGUCGAUCUUUUGUAAAUUAUUGACAAGACUCAUCAUGAAGCUGAAGAAGGCUCAAGGGGCACCUGGGGCAAAGCCAUCUAAGGCCGGCAAGGAAAAGAAGUUGCUCAAGGCGAAUGACAACGAUG
rnacentral:lncRNA from 1 species